rnacentral:lncRNA from 1 species
UUUCUAGGUGUACAACUGUGCAAGUAUUGAACAUCAGCUUGAAAUGCAAUGUGACCUAAAAGACAGCAUAAUAAUGGACAGAUGUAAGUAAUGAUAAAAUAGUCAAUGAUAUGGGAAAUGUAUGAAAUGAAAUUGUAAGAAAAAAGUUGACAGACAUAUUGUUUUACACCUGUCCCUCCGUCGGUCAGUUAGCUAUAGGUCAAAGUACAGCCUUCAACAAUGAGCAAAGCUCAUACUGCAUAGUCAUAUAUAUAAGGCCCUGAAAUUACAAUUGUAAAACAAUUCAGAACUAAUGACCUUAAUAUUAAUAUACAAAUAAAAUAACUAAAAACAAAUAUAUGCAACACAGCAACAUACAACAACCACUGAUUGUCCAGGUUCCUGACUUGGGACAGGCACAGAAGAUGGCAGGAUUAAACAUGUCAGCGGGAUCCAAGCCCUCAUAAAAUCAUGUAUUUUAGAUAUUCACCUCAAGAAAAUCUGAUAUAUCAGAAAUGUAAUUAACAUCAACCAUUGUCAACACUUUUAAAUGUUGUAUUUAACUUUAUUUGAUUUAUGCUUAUACAAAGAAGAUGUGGUAUGAUUGCCAAUGAGACAACUCUCCACAAGAGACCAAAUGACACAGAAAUUAACAACUUAAGGUCACUGUACUGCCUUCAACAAUGAGGAAAGCCCAUACCACAUAGUCAGCUAUAAAAGCCCCCAAAAUGACAAAUGUAAAACAAGAAAACAAAAAAACUAACUGCCUAAUUUAUGUACAAAAAAUGAACAAAAAAACAAAUAUAUGUAACACAUCAACAAAUGACAACCACUGCAUUAUAGGCUCCUGACUUGGAACAGGCACAUACAUUACAUUGUACCUUAAUAUUUUAAUUCACAUAUUGGUAUAAAAUCUAUUAUGUUUUUAUACGACCCCAAUUUUUUUUUUGGAUUGUAUAAUGGUAUGAUGUCGUGGUCGUCGUCGUCCGAAGACACAUUGUUUUCCGGAUAAUAACUUUAGUUUAAGUGAAUAGAUCUUUAUGAAAUUUUCUCAGAAGGUUCAAAGUACCACAAAAGGAAGGUUGGUAUCAAUUUUGUGGAUGAUGGUCCCAACCGUUUAGGAAUUAGGGGCCCAAAAAGGGGCCCAAAACAAGCAUUUUUGUCGAGUCUUCGACUUUUGUCGAAAAAGCGAGACUAAGCGAUCCUACAUUCCGUGACAAAUACUCUGGUUAAAGUUUUUGAAAUUUUAAUAACUUUCUUAAACUAUACUGAAUUUCUACCAAACUUGGACAGAACCUUGUUUAUGAUCAUAAGAAAGUAUCCAGAAGUAAAUUUUGUAAAAAUAAAAUUCCAUUUUUUCUGUAUUUUACUUAUAAAUGGACUUAGUUUUUCUGCGAGGAAACAUUACAUUCACUCGGUGGUUAAAGUUUUUGAAAUUUUAAUAACUUUUAUAAACUAUCCUUGAUUUGUACCAAACUUGGAAAGAAGCUUGUUAAUAUGAUCAUAAGAUAGUACUAUCAAGAAGAAAAUUUUGUAAAAAAAAAUUUCCACUUUUCCAUAUUUUACUUAUAAAUGGACUUAGUUUUUUUUGCCAGAAACAAAACAUUCACUCUGUGGUUUAAGUUUUCAAAAUUUUUAUUAUAAUGUUCUUAAACUAUCCUGGAUUUCUACCAAACUUAGACAAAAGCUUGUUUCUGAUCAUAAGAUAUUAUUCAGAAGUAGAUUUUGUAAAAAGAAAAAACUUUUUCCAUAUUUUACUUAUAAAUGGACUUAGUUUUUCUUCCAGUUAACAUUACAUACAGUCUGCAGUUAAAGUUUAUAAAACAUUUAUUAGAUUCAUAAACUAUCCUGGAUUUUUUUACCAAACUUGUAAGCUUCUUUCAAUCAAAAGACAGUAUCGAGAGGGAAAUUUUUAUUGAUGUUUUUCCUUAUUUUUGUUGAGUCUGCGAUUAACAGCAAAAGUAGGCGAGACACUGGGUUCCGUGGAACCCUUACGAAUUUUUCUAGUUUCAGGAUAAUAACUUAAUAUACUUGUGAGUAUUUAAAUUGCUCUGAAAUUAUACCUCAAUGUUGAGACCACAAGUAGAAGGUUAUGAUUCAUUUGAGGGGUUAUGGGGCCAAAGUUUAGGAAUUAAGGGCCAAAAAGGGGCCAAAACAAGCAUUUUUAUAGAAGCUUCCCUUCUGUUAAGGGGUAUUUUAAGGGGCAUAAAGAGGGGAGGGGUUACACUAUGGGAUUUUAUUUAAAAAAAAAUUCAAAUGACUUGAAAACUGUAAGUGAUAAACCCAUGCAGUCUUCAGAAAUGAUCACAGGACAAUAAAACAAAUCAAAUGAAAUAUAGGGUGAGUCCCUGGGGGAAACCCCCACCCUCUUCAAUUUGAGAAUGUGCUAUUAUCUUGUAAACUGUCCAGAUCCCCACCCCUAAACCAUAUAUAUUCUUGUAUGGGACAAUAAAACAAAUCAUAUAAAAUAAAAGGGAAGUCCCUGGGGUCACCCCUAACCCCUCUUGUUUGAGAACUUGUAAACGAUCAAGAUCCCCACUCCUAAACCAUAUAUAUUCUUGCAUGGGACAAUAAAACAAAUCAAAUGAAAGAAAUGGGAAUUCCCUAGGGGUCAUUCCCACCCCCUCUUGUUUGAAAACUUGUAAAUGGUCCAGAUCCCAACCCAUAAACCAUAUAUAUAUUCUUGCAAGGGACAAUUAAAUAAAUGAAAUGAAAUAAAAGGAAUUUCUCUGGUGUUCACCCCUACCCCCUCUUGUUUGAAAACUUGUUAACCAUCCAGAACCCCACCCCUAAACCAUAUAUAUUCUCGUAUGGGACAAUUAAACAAAUCAAAUGAAAUAAAAGGGAAGUCCUUCAGGUUUACCCCCACCCCCUCUUGUUUGAGAACUUGUAAACGGUUCAGAUCCCUACCCCUAAACCAUAUAUAUUCUUGAAUGGGACAAUUUAACAAAUCAAACCAAAUAUAGGGGGAGUCUAUGGGGUUACCCCACACCCUUUUGUUAGAAUACUUGUAAACAGUAGAGAUCCCCACCUCUAAAACAUUCUAAACCUUAUAUAUUCUUGUAUGGGAUAAUAAAACAAAUCUAAUAAAAUAUGGGACCAUGGAAAUGGCUAAUUAUGGGAGCUUUGUUUGGGAGACUUCGUAACAGCAUCCUGUUACAAUUACUUCUUGUUUAUUACAUAUUUUAGUGUAUUAAAGUAAUUAUACUGCUUCCACCUUUCAAAAUUCUAAGAAAGCUCUAUCUCUUUAAUGGAUAAAUAAAUGAAACUAGUCAAGAACUCAACAGAUAAUUUUUUUUCAGGUUCUCUGAUUGUAAGUACCUGUUGGCCACACACAUGAAUACUCUCAUUGAUCCUGCAUUCAGCUAAAUAUCAGAAAAAUUAAGAACAAAGGAAAAUAUGCUGAAACUGUACAGUCACUGACCAGUCAGGAUUAUUUCAGAAGUGCAAUUAUAAUACAAUAUAUGUUACUGGUUAAUUCCUAUGAUUUGUAAAUUUAAACAACACACAGAGGCUUUGCAUUAUUGUUUUACAAGAAAGACACCAAAAGAUGCAGUCAACAUUUAUCAUUUUUAUCAAAAUACGCCCAGGACAAACCAUGGGUACACUUAGCUUGAAAGAUGGUGCUUUCAUACCAAAAUUUCCUGGAAGUAAAAGAAAUAAAGAACCAAAAUUCAUGUCAGCAAUCAGGGGAUAAGAUGAAAGAAUACAGAAUAAGGUACUGUCAUGUUCAGUCUUUAUAAGAGUCCUGAUGCUCUAUAUAUAUACAAAUGUAUAUGCAUUUUGUUAUGCCCCGUCAUAGUGGUGGGGCAUUUAGUUUUAUCCUUGUAUGUUUGUACAUAAUAUUAGAUUUAAGAAGAUGUGGUAUGACUCCCAAUGAGACAACUCUCCAUCCAAGUCACAAUUUGUAAAAGAAAAACCAUUAUAAAUAGGUCAAAGUACAGUCUUCAACACAUGUACAGAGCCUUGGAUCACACCCAACAGUAAGCUAUUAUUAAUUUAAGGACCCAAAAAAUUAUUAGUGUGCAACCAGCUUUCAAACAUUAAACCAAAGGUUUAUUCUAUAUGAAAAAAAGAAAAGAGAAACACUUAUAGUGCAUGAUUUUCUCACUGUGUUGAAGACCCAUUGGUGGACUUUGGUUGUUGUCUGCACUUUGGUCGGGUUGUUGACAUAUAUUCCCAGCAUUUCCAUUCUCAAUUUUAUUAAGAAGUUAUUGAACUUUAUUCUUUGAAAAUGUGAUGGAGGUAUCAUGUGCACAUGGCGCAUCUGUUUAUUUGUUUUAGUUCACUAUAAACUUAAGUUUGCUUAACCAAAUGUACUGAAACUUAUACACAAUGCUUAUAACCACAAAACUCAGAUCAAGUACUCAUUUGGGUACUGUGUGUCACUUUUGACCCCUUAAAAUGUUAUAUGCAAGCAGGGGCAUAAUCUGUGUCCCAUGGACCCAUUCACCAUUUAUUUAUUCACAGAAUUUUGAAAGGAAUAAAUAAUCCAUGAUGUUCAUAUAGAUAAAACAUAUUGUAACGUUUCAAGAAUUUUUAUCUGUUUAUUACAGAUCAUGAUUGCCAAUGAGACAACUAUCCACCAAAGUUUGAAUAAAGUGGAUAUAAGCAGUUUUAGGUAACUGUACACCCUUAUGAAUGAUAAAAACCUGUACUGUAUAUAUUGUCCGCUAUAAAAGGUCCCGUAACAAGAAAAAAUAUGAACAAAAACAUUUGAGAAAACUAACGGCCUAAUUUAUAUAAUUUAUAACAAAACAAGUAGCAAAAAUCAAAUGUAUAACAUAAGUAAACCAACGACUUCUAUGGAAUUUCUGGCUCCUGACUUGGGACAGGCACACAAAGAAUGUGGCAGGUUAAACAAAUUUUUGGUUGCUCAACCCUCCCCUAACCUGGGACAGUGGUGUUACAGCACAACAUAAGAACAAACUAUAAAAAUCAGUUGAAAAGGUUUUAUCAUAUUUGUAUCUAUAGGUCAACUGUCUUGAAAUGAUCAACAAGUGAUUGUAGAAUUGAAUAACCAAAAACACACAAACAUCUACUGUCAAUACCAAAUUCCCCAAAACAAAAGCUUUAAGGGGGAUCGCAGGCAUAAAACAAUUUUUGUUUUUAAACAUAGAAUUUUGCUAUUUUUUUUCUAGAAAUAAACUUUAUAUAUAUAUCCUAUACUUAAAUAGAAAAAUAAAAGUAUAGGGUCACCGUUCAUUAAAGCUCACAAUCUGCCUUCGAAAGAAGCAUGUAUUUUUUUGCUAAGUACCUUUUACUGUAGAACUAAAACAUGUAAUAGGACAAAAUGUAAGAGGAAAAAAAUGUAAUUUCAAAAUAUAAAGAACUAAAUUACAGAAAUUGCUUUAAAUUUUACAAUAGUUGAGUUUUAGUACAGCUUAUUUUGAGAAAAAAUAAUGAAAAAUAUAAGUCACCCAUGAGUUGAAAAAGAUGUUUCAAUUUUAAUGCCAAAAAAUGGCAUUUUUUCAUCUAAGGGAGAUAAUUUAGAGCUUUUUCAGUGGUAUGAACAUUUCAAAAAUCAUCUGGGGCCAAAACAAAUAGAUUUUUUGGUUGAUUUUUUUACCAUAUCAUAUAUUAACCUCUAAUAGUAUAAGAGAUAAAAUUUGUAAUGAAAAAAAAAAUGUUUAAAUUUUUGCUGAAUUUUUAUACCCUCAAACAUCCUUAAGAUACAACUUUAGGUGACAGGAAAUGUCUUGACUUAAGAAAGCCACAUGCAAACUCAAUGUUGCUCCCCUUGUAUAUCUCGAUUUGUGUUUUUAAAAAGAAAAAAAGUUAACAUAAAAGAAUGCAGGUUGUCAGGAACAUUCAAUUGGAGAAAGGGAAAAGAACACAACUUUACACUAAAUAAUUUUGAAAACUUAUUGCCUAUACUAUCUUUAUUGAUAACAGACUGAGCCAAAAACGUUUUCAUCUACUAGUACGGACACUAAAUAUCAAAACUUGUGCCUAUAUAACUAUAUAAAAUUUUAAUAAUAUAUACUAGUCCGAAUCAAUAUUUACUGGUCUGGGGCAUUGGACUAGUGGCUAACAGUGCAGACUGUGAUAAAAAAAAUUCAGAAACAUUAUGUACAUUAUGAUCAUUGUGAUUGUGUUAAACAUCAGACAAGGCAAUCAAAAUGGUCAGAGGGGGCAAAGAAGUUUUGUUAUAAAUGUCAAAUGGUUAUAGUCUCAACCUAUCAACAUGAUCAAAAUUGUUGAUUUCACAGUUAAUAUUUACUUUUAGCAUGUUCAGCGGAAUAGAAUGCUUUUGUUAUAUUUUAUUAAAUGUUAAUUUACUUUGUUCUUAUAGGCAGGAGUGAAAGGAAGAGAAAACAAGGCAUCAGUAAAGAAGCAGAUCAAUUUAUAUUGAUAUGUAAUAAUUCCA